rnacentral:rRNA from 1 species
UACGAAGGGGGCUAGCGUUGCUCGGAAUUACUGGGCGUAAAGCGCACGUAGGCGGCUUGUUAAGUCGGAGGUGAAAUCCUGGAGCUCAACUCCAGAACUGCCUUCGAUACUGGCGAGCUCGAGUCCGGGAGAGGUGAGUGGAACUGCGAGUGUAGAGGUGAAAUUCGUAGAUAUUCGCAAGAACACCAGUGGCGAAGGCGGCUCACUGGCCCGGUACUGACGCUGAGGUGCGAAAGCGUGGGGAGCAAACAGG